UACGAAGGGGGCUAGCGUUGUUCGGAAUUACUGGGCGUAAAGCGCGCGCAGGCGGUCUUCCAAGUCAGUGGUGAAAGCCCGGAGCUCAACUCCGGAACUGCCAUUGAAACUGUUAGACUUGAGGAUGAGAGAGGUGAGUGGAAUUCCCAGUGUAGAGGUGAAAUUCGUAGAUAUUGGGAAGAACACCGGUGGCGAAGGCGGCUCACUGGCCCAUUACUGACGCUCAGGCGCGAUAGCGUGGGGAUCAAACAGG
rnacentral:rRNA from 1 species